UUAAGUCCCGCAACGAGCGCAACCCUUGUCAUUAGUUGCUACAUUCAGUUGGGCACUCUAAUGAGACUGCCGGUGACAAACCGGAGGAAGGUGGGGAUGACGUCAAGUCCUCAUGGCCCUUAUAGGUGGGGCUACACACGUCAUACAAUGGCUGGUACAAAGGGUUGCCAACCCGCGAGGGGGAGCUAAUCCCAUAAAGCCAGUCGUAGUCCGGAUCGCAGUCUGCAACUCGACUGCGUGAAGUCGGAAUCGCUAGUAAUC
rnacentral:rRNA from 1 species